GACGAAGGAUGCAAGCGUUAUCCGGAUUCAUUGGGUUUAAAGGGAGCGUAGGCGGCCUUAUAAGUCAGUGGUGAAAUCUCUCGGCUUAACCGAGAAAUUGCCAUUGAUACUGUAGGGCUUGAGUACAGUUGCCGUUGGCGGAAUAUGACAUGUAGUGGUGAAAUACAUAGAGAUGUCAUAGAACACCGAUCGCGAAGGCAGCUAACGAAGCUGUAACUGACGCUGAGGCUCGAAAGUGCGGGGAUCAAACAGG
rnacentral:rRNA from 1 species